rnacentral:rRNA from 1 species
GAUGAACGCUAGCUACAGGCUUAACACAUGCAAGUCGAGGGGCAGCGGGAUUGAAGCUUGCUUCAAUUGCCGGCGACCGGCGCACGGGUGAGUAACGCGUAUCCAACCUUCCGUACACUCAGGGAUAGCCUUUCGAAAGAAAGAUUAAUACCUGAUGGUAUGAUGAGAUCGCAUGGUAUCAUCAUUAAAGAUUUAUCGGUGUACGAUGGGGAUGCGUUCCAUUAGGUAGUAGGCGGGGUAACGGCCCACCUAGCCUACGAUGGAUAGGGGUUCUGAGAGGAAGGUCCCCCACAUUGGAACUGAGACACGGUCCAAACUCCUACGGGAGGCAGCAGUGAGGAAUAUUGGUCAAUGGACGAGAGUCUGAACCAGCCAAGUAGCGUGAAGGAUGAAGGUCCUACGGAUUGUAAACUUCUUUAUAAGGGAUAAAACCUCCACGUGUGGGAGCUUGUAUGUACCUUAUGAAUAAGCAUCGGCUAACUCCGUGCCAGCAGCCG